rnacentral:lncRNA from 1 species
UGGACCUGGAGUGAGGAAGCAGCUAGAACUGGCUCCAGAAAUGUUUCCUGUGUUUCAGCAGCAUUUUAGCUCUUUAGCAAAUUCCAGCUUUAUCCCACGACCUUGGCUACGAUGAAAAUGGGAUUAUACUUAUCUCUGCUAUUUCAGACGGACUGGCGGGAGUCCCUUCGAUAACAUCAAGAUGGCAGAGAGGCGGUCUUUUGGAAUCUUGAUCCUGACCCUAACAGGUCCGGGGGUGCCCAAGAUGCCGCAUGGGAAGCAAGGUGGCUGGUGCUCAGAUCACACCUCCCUCGAGCAGCACGAGGCUCAGGUUGACUCAAGGCUCUGCCAUGCACCGUCCUGGCUCCAGGACAAGACUGAUGAGGCAGCUGUUGUCUGGAGCGUUGCUGGUUCCUGGGGCAGAGGAAAGGAACUAUCUGGAGAAACUCACGCAGGCAAUUAAAUGCCCUGGCCUGGAAGACACCCACAUCACUUCACAGCACACGGGGCAGAUCUGGUGACAGUCCCACGAGGGAGCCAAGAAGUUCCGUGCUACCAGGUGCCAGAGAGACAGACUCUUGGGGGAACCAUGUAAUGAUUACUGUAGCUUUUAUUAUCCUUAUUAUUCACAAUUAUAAUGAAAACAUCCUGUGGC